rnacentral:sRNA from 1 species
ACCUCCUGGAGGAGGCAGUGGACGACCAUGUCCUCCUCCUAGAUCCUAGAGAAAUUCUAUCAUAGAAUAUUUGAUCCAAAA